GGACGCUAGCGGCGGAUGGGUGAGUAACACGUGGGCAAUCUGCCCUAAAGACUGGGAUACCACUUGGAAACAGGUGCUAAUACCGGAUAACAACAUGAAUCGCAUGAUUCAAGUUUGAAAGGCGGCGCAAGCUGUCACUUUAGGAUGAGCCCGCGGCGCAUUAGCUAGUUGGUGGGGUAAAGGCCUACCAAGGCAAUGAUGCGUAGCCGAGUUGAGAGACUGAUCGGCCACAUUGGGACUGAGACACGGCCCAAACUCCUACGGGAGGCAGCAGUAGGGAAUCUUCCACAAUGGACGCAAGUCUGAUGGAGCAACGCCGCGUGAGUGAAGAAGGUAUUCGGAUCGUAAAGCUCUGUUGUUGGUGAAGAAGGAUAGAGGCAGUAACUGGUCUUUAUUUGACGGUAAUCAACCAGAAAGUCACGGCUAACUACGUGCCAGCAGCCGCGGUAAUACGUAGGUGGCAAGCGUUGUCCGGAUUUAUUGGGCGUAAAGCGAGCGCAGGCGGAAUGAUAAGUCUGAUGUGAAAGCCCACGGCUCAACCGUGGAACUGCAUCGGAAACUGUCAUUCUUGAGUGCAGAAGAGGAGAGUGGAAUUCCAUGUGUAGCGGUGGAAUGCGUAGAUAUAUGGAAGAACACCAGUGGCGAAGGCGGCUCUCUGGUCUGCAACUGACGCUGAGGCUCGAAAGCAUGGGUAGCGAACAGGAUUAGAUACCCUGGUAGUCCAUGCCGUAAACGAUGAGCGCUAGGUGUUGGGGACUUUCCGGUCCUCAGUGCCGCAACAAACGCAUUAAGCGCUCCGCCUGGGGAGUACGACCGCAAGGUUGAAACUCAAAGGAAUUGACGGGGGCCCGCACAAGCGGUGGAGCAUGUGGUUUUAUUCGAAGCAACGCGAAGAACCUUACCAAGUCUUGACAUCCUGCGCUAUUUCUAGAGAUAGGUGGUUCCCUUCGGGGACGCAGAGACAGGUGGUGCAUGGCUGUCGUCAGCUCGUGUCGUGAGAUGUUGGGUUAAGUCCCGCAACGAGCGCAACCCUUGUCUUUAGUUGCCAUCAUUAAGUUGGGCACUCUAAAGAGACUGCCGGUGACAAACCGGAGGAAGGUGGGGAUGACGUCAAGUCAUCAUGCCCCUUAUGACCUGGGCUACACACGUGCUACAAUGGGCAGUACAACGAGAAGCGAACCCGCGAGGGUAAGCGGAUCUC
rnacentral:rRNA from 1 species